rnacentral:sRNA from 1 species
CGAGAUGCAGUCUACCCUAUACCAUCUGUGAACGUUACCUAAACUGUUGCUUCGGCGGGCGGCCCCGGGGUUUACCCUCCGGGCGCCUCCUGUGCCCCACCGCACGACGCCAGCCAAGAGGUCACCAAACUCUAGAUAAUUUAUGGCCUCUCUGAGUCUUCUGUACUGAAUAAGUCAAAACUUUCCACAACGGAUCUCUUGCUUCUGGCAUCGAUGAAGAACGCAGCGAAAUGCGAUAAGUACUGUGAAUUGCAGAAUUCAGUGAAUCAUCGAAUCUUUGAACGCACAUUGCGCCCGCCAGUAUUCUGGCGGGCAUGCCUGUUCGAGCGUCAUUUCAACCAUCAAGCCCCCGGGCUUGUGUUGGGGACCUGCGGCUGCCGCAGGCCCUGAAAAGCAGUGGCGGGCUCGCUGUCACACCGAGCGUAGUAGCAUAUAUCUCGCUCUGGGCGUGCUGCGGGUUCCGGCCGUUAAACCACCUUUUAACCCAAGGUUGACCUCGGAUCAGGUAGGAAGACCCGCUGAACUUAAGCAUAUCAAUAAACGAAGGAAAUGGAACGGGAUUUG